rnacentral:rRNA from 1 species
UACGGAGGGUGCAAGCGUUAUCCGGAUUUACUGGGUUUAAAGGGUGCGUAGGCGGGCCCUUAAGUCAGUGGUGAAAGCUCCGAGCGUAACUCGGAAACUGCCAUUGAUACUAUAGGUCUUGAAUUCGGUCGAGGUUGGCGGAAUGUGUCGUGUAGCGGUGAAAUGCUUAGAUAUGACACAGAACACCGAUUGCGAAGGCAGCUAGCUAGACCGACAUUGACGCUGAGGCACGAAAGCGUGGGGAUCAAACAGG